AUUGAACGCUGGCGGCAUGCUUUACACAUGCAAGUCGAACGGUAACAGGCCUUCGGGUGCUGACGAGUGGCGAACGGGGGAGUAAUGCAUCGGAACGUACCCAGAGGUGGGGGAUAACGCAGCGAAAGCUGUGCUAAUACCGCAUGUGAUCUGAGGAUGAAAGCGGGGGACCGAGCAGCAAUGUUUGGCCUCGCGCCUUUGUAGCGGCCGAUGUCGGAUUAGCUAGGUGGGGGGGUAAAGGCCUACCAAGGCGACGAUCCGUAGCUGGUCUGAGAGGACGACCAGCCACACUGGGACUGAGACACGGCCCAGACUCCUACGGGAGGCAGCAGUGGGGAAUUUUGGACAAUGGGCGCAAGCCUGAUCCAGCAAUGCCGCGUGCGGGAAGAAGGCCUUCGGGUUGUAAACCGCUUUUGGCAGGAACGAAACGGUGUCCGCUAAUACCGGGCGCUAAUGACGGUACCUGCAGAAUAAGCACCGGCUAACUACGUG
rnacentral:rRNA from 1 species